UGAGUAACCUGCCCUUAACUCUGGGAUAAGCCUGGGAAACUGGGUCUAAUACCGGAUAUGACUCCUCAUCGCAUGGUGGGGGGUGGAAAGCUUUUUGUGGUUUUGGAUGGGCUCGCGGCCUAU
rnacentral:rRNA from 1 species